rnacentral:sRNA from 1 species
AAUCAUUAUUGUUUCUUGAAAUCAUUCAUAUUUAUCGUUGUUAGAUCAAUUACUUUCACAAUCAACUUUAAACAGAGGAAGAAUGAGAAUGAGAUAUUAUAAUGCAGACAUCCUAUGAAAUUUUACCGUCAACUGUUCCGAAUCUCAUGUCCGAUAUUCCAUAGAACAAAUCAACAUAGAAAAAGCACACAAACACGAUUUAAAAACACACGCGCAAAACAUGAAUAAACAUAGAAAGUAGUUUCAAGAACAAAGUAGAAGAGAAAGAUGUCCCCAGAAUAAAUUAGUUAAAGUAGAAUAGGAAUUGUGUAUAG